AUUAGAAAAGGUGCGGGCUGAAAUGCCCGUAUUUCUAAACCCUAUGUUUACAUACCUUUGUUGCUUUGGCAGGCCGCGGCCUCCGCUGUGGGCUCACGCGCACACGUGCCUGCCAGAGGACCCAACUCUUGAUUUUAGUGAUGUCUGAGUACUAUUAAAUAGUUAAAACUUUCAACAACGGAUCUCUUGGUUCU
rnacentral:misc_RNA from 1 species